CGGCCGCGUCGACAUUGAACGCUGGCGGCAGGCUUAACACAUGCAAGUCGAACGAUGACUCUCUAGCUUGCUAGAGAUGAUUAGUGGCGGACGGGUGAGUAACAUUUAGGAAUCUACCUAGUAGUGGGGAUAGCUCGGGGAAACUCGAAUUAAUACCGCAUACGACCUACGGGUGAAAGGGGCGUGCGGUGGGUACGGGCUGGCUUGAGUGCGGUAGGGGAGAGUCGUGGAGGCG
rnacentral:rRNA from 1 species